rnacentral:rRNA from 1 species
UACGGAAGGGGCUAGCGUUGUUCGGAAUCACUGGGCGUAAAGCGCGCGUAGGCGGCUUGGCAAGUGAGGCGUGAAAGUCCUGGGCUCAACCCGGGGACUGCGCUUCAGACUGCUUGGCUUGAGUCCGGAAGAGGGUGGUGGAAUUCCGAGUGUAGAGGUGAAAUUCGUAGAUAUUCGGAGGAACACCGGCGGCGAAGGCGGCCACCUGGUCCGGAACUGACGCUCAAGUGCGAAAGCGUGGGGAGCAAACAGG